AGGAGCCGUGCGAGAUGAAAGUCUCAUGCACGGUUUUGAAUGAGAGAAAGAAGUGAGGAGUGGCUUUGAUGAUGUCUUCAAAAGCAAUCUUUCCAUCAAAGUUCCAAAUACAGAAUAAAUCUCCAUUUUUGGU
rnacentral:ncRNA from 1 species